rnacentral:rRNA from 1 species
UACGGAGGGAGCUAGCGUUGUUCGGAAUUACUGGGCGUAAAGGGCGCGUAGGCGGCCAACUAAGUCAGACGUGAAAUCCCCAGGCUCAACCUGGGAACUGCGUCUGAUACUGGAUGGCUUGAGUUCGGGAGAGGGAAGUGGAAUUCCAGGUGUAGCGGUGAAAUGCGUAGAUAUCUGGAGGAACACCGGUGGCGAAGGCGGCUUCCUGGACCGACACUGACGCUGAGGCGCGAAAGCCAGGGGAGCAAACGGG